CCUCCUAGACAUUAAAAAUCCUGAACUGUCCUGCAAAACUCUUGACAGAGGGACAACUCUCAAAGGGAUUAGCAUAUGCAACCAUGAUCAUGACAUCGAAGAUUGCAUCCAGCUUCAGGAUGAAAUAGAAGAACUUAUCUGAUGCGAUCGCUUGGAUCAGUUCAUCCGACAUCAGCAGGAUCAAUAGGAGGAGCAAUGAAGAUUAUUAGCCCCACCA
rnacentral:lncRNA from 1 species